rnacentral:rRNA from 1 species
UACGUAGGGUGCGAGCGUUAAUCGGAAUUACUGGGCGUAAAGCGUGCGCAGGCGGUUGUGCAAGACAGAUGUGAAAUCCCCGGGCUUAACCUGGGAAUGGCAUUUGUGACUGCACGGCUAGAGUGUGUCAGAGGGGGGUAGAAUUCCACGUGUAGCAGUGAAAUGCGUAGAGAUGUGGAGGAAUACCGAUGGCGAAGGCAGCCCCCUGGGAUAACACUGACGCUCAGGCACGAAAGCGUGGGGAGCAAACAGGAUUAGAUACCCUCGUAGUCC